UGCACUUUUUGGUAAGAAGAUGUUAAUAAAAGUUGUUCGUCAUGAUGAGGGCUACAACUUUGCUUAAUAUCCUUUUAACAAAUUAUGCGUAUUUAAGGAGAUCGGGCUGCGCAUUCGCAGAACGUAUCUCCCUAGCUUUGCACUUUUUGGUAAGAAGAUGUUAACAAAAGUUGUUCGUCAUGAUGGGGGCUACAACUUUGCUUAAUAUCCUUUUAACAAAUUAUGCG
rnacentral:miRNA from 1 species